CACCGCGGUUAUACGAGAGACCCGAGUUGUUAGACACCGGCGUAAAGAGUGGUUAAGAUUGACUCAAAACUAAAGCCGAACGCCCUCAGAGCUGUUAUACGCACCCGAGGGUAAGAAGCCCAACCACGAAAGUGGCUUUAUCUUAUCCGAACCCACGAAAGCUAUGAUA
rnacentral:rRNA from 2 species